GACGAACGCUGGCGGCGUGCUUAACACAUGCAAGUCGAACGGAAAGGCCCUGCUUUUGUGGGGUGCUCGAGUGGCGAACGGGUGAGUAACACGUGAGUAACCUGCCCUUGACUUUGGGAUAACUUCAGGAAACUGGGGCUAAUACCGGAUAGGAGCUCCUGCUGCAUGGUGGGGGUUGGAAAGUUUCGGCGGUUGGGGAUGGACUCGCGGCUUAUCAGCUUGUUGGUGGGGUAGUGGCUUACCAAGGCUUUGACGGGUAGCCGGCCUGAGAGGGUGACCGGCCAGAUUGGGAGUGAGAUGCGGCACAGACUCCUACGGGAGGCAGCAGUGGGGAAUAUUGCACAAUGGGCGGAAGCCUGAUGCAGCAACGCCGCGUGCGGGAUGAGGGCCUUCGGGUUGUAAACCGCUUUCGCCUGUGACGAAGCGUGAGUGAAGGUAAUGGGUAAAGAAGCACCGGCUAACUACGUG
rnacentral:rRNA from 1 species